GAUGAACGCUGGCGGCGUGCUUAAUACAUGCAAGUCGAGCGAACAGACGAGGAUCUUGCUCCUCUGACGUUAGCGGCGGACGGGUGAGUAACACGUGGAUAACCUACCUAUAAGACUGGGAUAACUUCGGGAAACCGGAGCUAAUACCGGAUAAUAUAUUGAACCGCAUGGUUCAAUAGUGAAAGACGGUUUUGCUGUCAUUUAUAGAUGGAUCCGCGCCGCAUUAGCUAGUUGGUAAGGUAACGGCUUACCAAGGCCACGAUGCGUAGCCGACCUGAGAGGGUGAUCGGCCACACUGGAGCUGAGACACGGUCCAGACUCCUACGGGAGGCAGCAGUAGGGAAUCGUGCGCAAUGGGCGGAAGCCUGACGGAGCAACGCCGCGUGAGUGAUGAAGGUCUUCGGAUCGUAAAACUCUGUUAUUAGGGAAGAACAAAUGUGUAAGUAGCGAUGCACGUCUUGACGGUACCUGAACAGAAAGCCACGGCUAACUACGUG
rnacentral:rRNA from 1 species